GGCUUAUGACGGGUAUCCGGCCUGAGAGGGUGAACGGACACACUGGAACUGAGACACGGUCCAGACUCCUACGGGAGGCAGCAGUAGGGAAUAUUGCUCAAUGGGGGAAACCCUGAAGCAGCAACGCCGCGUGGAGGAUGAAGGUUUUAGGAUUGUAAACUCCUUUUGUUAGAGAAGAUAAUGACGGUAUCUAACGAAUAAGCACCGGCUAACUCCGUGCCAGCAGCCGCGGUAAUACGGAGGGUGCAAGCGUUACUCGGAAUCACUGGGCGUAAAGAGCGCGUAGGCGGGAUAGUCAGUCAGGUGUGAAAUCCUAAGGCUUAACCAUAGAACUGCAUUUGAAACUACUAUUCUAGAGUGUGGGAGAGGUAGGUGGAAUUCUUGGUGUAGGGGUAAAAAUCA
rnacentral:rRNA from 1 species